AGGAGCUACAACAGGAACUAACAUUUUCCUCAAUUAUAAUAGUACAGUCAAAUUGGAAUACAAUAGCAUUUAGCACGUUCUUGAAUUUUGAAACCUGCCUUGCAAUACGAAGGGAUAAAAUCAUCUCAGGACUAAACUGACGCCUUGCGAAGGCUCCCUACACCUAGCAAGGCAACGGAGCAUGGAACAGCACAGACGACACAUGUGAGUUACACCAAAACCAGCAAGAUGUAGUGCCAAAGAGAUGGGGGACAGGGUCUAAAGAAACCAGAGUGGAGCAAAAAACUUUUUUAAUUUCUUGGGGCGAGGCGGGGGUCUGAAGAAGAACAGAACCAAAAGAUGAGCUGGAGUAUGAAAGAAGGAGAAAAAAUACAGAUGAGGGCGGGGCCUGGCCGCCAGGUCACAAGAAGGAUGUAAUCAAAGGCUCCGUAGUGAUGCUGGUCCCGGGUGAGCAUUUAUCAACGUUAAUUAGAAUCAAGUCAUGGGAUACUGUCCAUUUGGCUGAAAUCCUUCUGAAAUUCUGUUGGAUUUUCCUCUGCCCACAAUCAUAAUCAUCUGCAAACAACAAGGGAGAUUUCCUCCUUCCCAAACCUCUAUUCUCAUUGUCUGGUUUUUGAGUCACUCACCUGCCUCACUGCACGGGAUCUGCCCUCCGUUAGGACGUCAGACAGACGGUGUUGAGGGCAGCCUUCU